AUACGGAGGAUCCAAGCGUUAUCCGGAAUCAUUGGGCUUAAAGGGUCCGUAGGCGGGUUUGUAAGUCAGUGGUGAAAGUUUUCGGCUCAACCGGAAAAUUGCCAUUGAUACUGCAAGUCUUGAAUCAUGAUGAAGUGGUUAGAAUGUGUAGUGUAGCGGUGAAAUGCAUAGAUAUUACACAGAAUACCGAUUGCGAAGGCAGAUCACUAAUAAUGUAUUGACGCUAAGGGACGAAAGCGUGGGUAGCGAACAGAAUUAGAAACCCUAGUAGUCC
rnacentral:rRNA from 1 species